GGAAAAGAACGGUGAGACAGAUUGGAAUCGAUGAAGCCAAAAAGGGGGAAAGGGAAAUAGGAUCUCUAAAUUGCUUUUGAUCAGAAGGAGAGGAUUCAUGAACGGAGAGGGGAGGAAACGACAACAGGGGGUGUUUGGAGGGAAGCUAAGCUCGUCCUCGAUUGGAAUCAUCGCCACUGUGUUUUAUUCAAUUCCGACAGAAAUAGGGUUGAUGUUCAAUUCCAGGCAGUGGGUUUCGCCGGCAGCUCCCAAUCGAGUUGAAGCCUACCUGUCCCUUGAAUCGGAUAAAAAUAUAGCAGGUAAUUUUGGGACUUUUGAGUCUGCGGUUUUAGGAGUGGCUAAUGUUGAUAAACUGGCGGAGCUUCGACGAUCAAGACCCAAAAGAGCUUGACCUACGAUCCCUGGUCCUCCUCCUCCAAAAGGAUCAACCAUAGAACACCAAAAACAGAAGGGCCUUUGGGCUGUUAAACUACUAUCAGCCGAUGCCACCGUUGUCCGGAGAACGCUUUCCACUCUUACAGAAAACCCAAACGAUCUUGAAGGAGUUAGUGAGGAUCCUAAACAUGCAAAGAAACACUCCUCCUUUUGGUCUACAAUAAAACCUUCUCAUUUCAGAGUAAAGAUUGCCACCAAGAAUCUUCUAGGUAUGAUUGGGAUCAUCGUCACCGAGAUAUCAAUUGGGCUUCUGGGCAGCUUCUCAUUCGAGAGGUGGCUUCUAUUGAAAUUCCCAUCUUUUUCCAGUUUUGGAGGGUUCAGAAAGGAAGGUCCCACAGAGGAAGAAGUCGCUAGCGCCAGUUUCAAGAUGUGGUUCAUCGACCAUGGCUUUAGUGAAUCCUCUCCUCUUCACCACUUCUUUUUCUUGUUCCAGUUACUGUCGAUGAGAGGGGGAGGAAGGCAGAAAGAAAACGACAACAGGGGGUGUUUGGGUUGCUUGGUGUGUCGUAAAACAGUAGGAGAAAACGGAGGGGGCUGCUGCCCUUGGCUCGCCGGAAACCACCAGCAAACACCUCUGGUGGGGGUGUUUUUGUUGCACCUCGAAGAUAGGAGAAAAAGAAGGGAGUGUGAGAGGAAAUGGAAGAAUGAAAAAUUGUAUUUAUCUAUGAAUUACAGUUAUUCAUAA